AACGAACGCUGGCGGCAUGCCUAACACAUGCAAGUCGAACGAGACCUUCGGGUCUAGUGUCGCACGGGUGCGUAACCCGUGGGAACCUUCCCUUAGGUUCAGCCUACCUCCCCGAAUGGGGUGCUAAUACCGGAUAAUGUCUUCGAACCAAAGAUAUAUCGCCUUUGGAUGGGCCGGAGUUGGAUUAGUUAUUUGUUAGGGUAAAAGCCUACCAAGGCGACGAUCCAUAGCUGGUCUGAGAGGAUGAUCAGCAACACUGGGACUGAGACACGGCCCAGACUCCUACGGGAGGGAGCGGUGGGGAAUAGUGGACACGGGGCGAAAGCCUGAUCCAGCAAUGGCGCGUGAGUGAUGAAGGCCUUAGGGUUGUAAAGCUCUUUUACCCGGGAUGAUAAUGACAGGAACGGGAGAAUAAGCCCCGGCUAACUCCGUG
rnacentral:rRNA from 1 species